UAAUGUGCUGUUCAUAGCAGCCUGGCGCAAGAGAGCAGACCGAGGCCACAGUCAUUAGUGAAAAGUGACUUCAUGGGUUCCGGGUGCCACACCCAACUAGGGGACUAGUUUUCUCUGAGAACUUAACGGGAAGCUCACGAGCAACAGGGCCUGUGUGUGUGUGUUGCACACGUAAUAGUGGUUCCCAAACUCCCUGGCAAAGCACUGGCACCCAGUCAGUGCUUAAUAAGAGUAUAAAUGAAUGAAUGCAGACUGUGACAUGCUCAUUUCCUUGUACUGCUGAAAAUUGGAGCAAGCGAGUGAGCGAGGGAGAGAGAGGGAGAGAGAGAGAGAGGGAGGGAGAGAGAGAGAGGAGUGAAAUGGCUUGCUUGCAGCCACACAUCCAGGACAGAAUGAGCCAUUCUUCUAGUUAUAAGCCCUAUCACUUCCACUCCCUUUAAAUUUCCUGUAAGGAUAGGCCUGGAGCAUUGGCUAUAUAGGAAGAAUUAGCUUCCCAGUGAGUGGUUCUAAAGAGCCUAAUAGGAAAGCUACUGCUGUUCUGGGGAAACAAAGAGCCUCUUCUUAGAAUGUGGC
rnacentral:lncRNA from 1 species